rnacentral:misc_RNA from 1 species
GAUGAAGAACGUAGUGAAAUGCAAUAAGUAAUGUGAAUUGCAGAAUUCAGUGAAUCAUCGAGUCUUUGAACGCACAUUGCGCCCCCUGGUAUUCCGGGGGGCAUGCCUGUCCGAGCGUCAUUGCUGCCCUCAAGCACGGCUUGUGUGUUGGGCCGCCGUCCCCGGUUUCCCCCGGGGACGGGCCCGAAAGGCAGCGGCGGCACCGCGUCCGAUCCUCGAGCGUAUGGGGCUUUGUCACCCGCUCUGUAGGCCCGGCCGGCGCCAGCCGACACCCAACUUUAUUUCUAAGGUUGACCUCGGAUCAGGUAGGGAUACCCGCUGAACUUAAGCAUAUCAAUAAGCGGAGGA